rfam:Triticum aestivum genome assembly, contig: Triticum_aestivum_CS42_TGACv1_scaffold_591782_7BS
CUGUUACUCCCUCCGUUCGGAAUUACUUGUCGCAGAAAUGAAUGUAUCUAGACGAAUUACUUGUCGCAGAAAUGAAUGUAUCUAGACGUAUUUUAGUUCUAGAUACAUCCAUUUUUGAGACAAGUAAUUCCGAACGGAGGGAGUAGUAA